AAAUGGAUCUCAGCAACGGAUAUCUUGGCUCUUGCAACGAUGA
rnacentral:rRNA from 1 species